AAGGACACAAAUAUCCUUCAGGAGAACAUGUCAGAAUAGAAGAACAGGAAGCUUGGUGUCAGCGUCGAGUUCACAAUAAUGCCUUCAACAAGCUGGCGUGUUAACAGGUGCGGCCUCUAACCAAAGCCGUUCAUCACAAGAAAGUGACUCUCGGGCUACUGCUGGAAUUGAAUCACAGAAUCCGAGCUGAUCACAGUUCAAGAUGUUUUUUUUGCGGGGGCAGAGGUUUCUGCUGUGGUUCAAUAGGGAUCCAAUAGGGGUCCAGGAUCUGGACUUGAUAAAAAAAUUCAAAAUCGAAGAGGAUGCGGGGGGAGAAAGAAAGAGACUGCCGACACGUGACAGUGUGGGGACAUCGACAAAAGCCGGAUGCCUCGAAAUGUCAGCCCCGACAUCUGUACGAAGAAGGCCGUCCCCGCCAAUCGGGUGGCUCGCGUGGAGGCGAUAAAUGGCAUUCUUCGGGAGCGAGCGAGUGAGGCGAAGACAGGCGACGGUUACUGGACCGAAAGGCUCCCUGUAGUCUGUAACGUUCUAGGUGUUAAAGUACAAGAAGAGGUCAGAGGUCGCUCAGCGUUCAUGUCAGGAAAUCUUUUUUUUCUUUUUUGUUUGACGGGUCGGAUGCACGAACCCAACAUGUCUCGCGGUUUCGCAAGUGCGGGUUUGAGGAACACUGCGUUUCUCCCCAGCACGCACGCGAGUCCGGGGGAGAAGAGAGCCGCGGCCGCUCGGAGCAACGCCGCCAGCGUGUAAUGAUCGCCGGGGAGACGCAGAGGAAAUGAGAAAAAAUAAUUUGACAAGGGCCCGAUGUUGCUGUGUUUCUUCCGUUCUAAUUGGCUGUAUGUUUUUGUGUCCGUAAUGGUUUGAAAUGAGUUUUCUCCCGAGAGUUUCGGAUUGCUUAUUUCAAUCCUGUCGAAGAAAGACCAAACUAAAGAAAUAGUUUGUGAGGCAGAUGGAAGAAAGAAAAGGCCGUUUGACGUCAGCCUCAAGACAAACAUUUUGGACCUAAAGAAAAAGCUAUUUGAGGAACCUACUAUAUUGUUAAAGAUAUCUUUUUAUUUUAAAUUAACAUCCG
ensembl:lncRNA